CUGGGAGGCUGGGCUGAGGAUGGGCAGUCAGCAAGACACCCAGAGCCUGUGCCAGAGGAGAGCUCAGAGGAUGAGCUUCCACCGCAGAUCCACAAGGUAUAGCCUUGCAGACUGGGGAUCUCGUGGGGGUUGCAAACUGGGAGCCGCCUGGGCAGCAGGAUGCGGUGUCAGCCCGAUUCCUCUCCUAUCUGAAGGGGAUAGGGUGGUCAUGGGCUCCGUUUUGUUGCCAUCAAUUGCUGAUGAGACAAAACCGCCAGGCCAGCAGCUGUCCAGCCGUGUGUCAAGUCAACGCCACUCUGACUGUUGUGGGGUGAAUGCGUGUGUGAGUACAUACAUGUGUCUGUGUUCACAUCUGUGUCGUCCGUGUCGGAGGAUCGCUGCAGAGCCGUGACAGCUGACGGGACUGGCAGCGGGGAGCUGUGGAUGGGCUCGGAGGUGGCAGCAACAGCUGCUGUUUGAAGGGAUGUGACAAGGCACGAGCUCCAGAUGUCUGCCCAGAGCUGGGACCUGCCUCCAAAAUGAAAACAGGGAGCUGGUGUCCUCCAGGGAUGGCUGACAGCAGUGGGAGCUGUCGGAGCUGCCUUGCUCAGCCUGUAGCAGUGCUGGAACCACACCUGCAGCCCUGGAGAAGUGCCGUGCGCCGCAUUCCACCUCACAGAGAGGACCAAUGUUGCACACCUCAGUCUGGAACGGGACAGCAGCGGGGCAGUCAGCCACCCCUCUCUGUGCACAUGCGUGUGCUGCCCAGGCACCUUGCAGCAGGUCUUUAGCCGCUACUGUGUGCGCAGAGUUGGGAACAGCUCUGCUGCAGCUCCUCCCCAGCUCCCAUGACACCUGCCCUGUCCCAGGCAUGCGGGAAAGGGUCCAUGGAGUGGCAGUCCUGGGUCUCUGUCCCUCCCCGCUGGCAGCCUCCAUGCUAGCCCUCUGGCUUGGGCUAGAGCAGCACUUCCUGCCCUGCACGGUGCUCAGGGGUUAUGAGCUGCUCCCAGGCCCUCUUGCAGUGCCAAAGAGCUGGUGCAGCCUGAUGUCCCCUGGGAGUGCACGCAGCCCGCUUGGAGCCCACAGUGAAGGUCUUGUGCUCUGUGCGCUGAUUCCCUUCCCCCAGGCAUCAUAAAGGCCUUUUUCCUGUG